CCAUAUUUACCUUAAUUAGUUUACGCGCAGAUAAUAUUCUGUACUUGCAAACAAUGCAGAAACUUACCAAACAUUGCCGGGCCGUUCCUGUGCUCACAGAGCGUAGUGAGCUUUGCUUUACUCAGGAGGAGGACAGGCUCACAUUUUCUGACCGUGGCCAUGCUGUGGUAUAUCGUGAAAGGUGCUGAAUUUAGUGAUGAGACCGUUAAUACCCAGAUUCUGGAGAUUGCCUCCUCAAAGUGUGGCCCAGCGACUUCAAGCUGGGAAUCGGGGCUUUAUAUAUAAAAAAUAUGACAUUUUCAAAAUACACAGUAGCAGUUCUAACUAAUUCUAGUUUUUGGUAACACUUUAUUUGAGGGGGCACAAAUAAUAUAGUAUUAUGCUAUUACUGAUGUAUUAAUUAACCACAAUAUACAUCUCAGUUACACAAAGAUCUCAUUCAUUAAUGAUGAACAAACAUAAGACAAGUGAAAUACUGAUCUGAUGUUUGCAUCAUUAAUAUAUCGUGAGGCAUCUCAGGCUGUUACUAUAUUUGUUACUGUGUUUGUUCAGUAACCGUUUGUGAGCUACUUAAGGAAUUACUGAAGGUCAAAUGCACAAUAUAUGCUCAUCUGUUCAUCAUAAAAAAUCACGAUGCAUCAUUUAUCUCAAGUAGUGACUAUAUUUGUCCAUGAUUUGUACUUCAGUAGUAACUGACUUACUUCUAAGUAAUUUGUGGCCCCCAAGUAAAGUGGGCCGACUGUCUUUGGGGAGGUGGCCAUGACCUUAUAAGAGUGUCAUAUUCCAUUCCUGUUGGGUUUCUUAUUAAACGUUAAAUAAAGAGCAAAUGAAUCAUAGUUAAUACAAGCUUUAAUUUACGGGCAGGUUUUACUUUAUUGACAGUUUACACAUGCCUCACUGUUAUGCCUUCGUUUGCACAAGUCACGACCCAGUUUAGACUGGAAACCCGAACUGGGCUGUGCACGAGCAGAUAAGUAUCAUUUCCGCUCACUACUGCUUCACGGCAGCUGGACGAUUUCACAAAUUGAUUUAUUGCAGUUUAUUUAAACAUAGGUUGUACUUAGCACUUAUUUGAAUUAUUGUGGAUAUAUGUGUUUUUAAAUUACAAAGAUUAUUUUAUUUAAAAAUAGCAUUUAGCACGAUUUGGGUUAUUACAGUUUAAUAAUAGUUUAUAAUUAUGACAUGUUAUAAUAUAUUUUUAAAUUAUUAUAAUCGUAUAUUUAAAUAAUUUGUACUAAAAAAAAAGUAUGUGGUACAUUGGGAGGAGCUUAAAUUUGGCUCCGCUUAUGACGUCAUAAGCGGGAGGGGGAGCGUAUCCCUUAUUCUGAUUGGUCGAGGGGUUAUCUCCAUAUACCGUAUAUUGCCGAUAGGGGGCCAUAUGGUUUGGGUGAUAAGUUUUGCCGUUAAACUUUAAUAGAAUAAAAAUACAUUACAUGUAUUUAUUUGUGUUAAUUUUAAUUAUGUUUUUAAGAAAUAAUAAAACAUAUGGCAGGAUGAAUGCAAGCUAGCGCAUACACGUCUAGCGGGGCCCGUCUGGCCGCAGGCACGGGUUGUUAGGAGUAGGCACAAGCGCCACAGCGUAUUUUAAAAGAAUGUGGGGAUCUGAACGGGCUGGUAGGAGUAGUUGCAUGGCACUGGUAAUUACACUAUAUUGGCAACCACUUGAGCCAGGUCAUAUGACCUACCAGGAAGUUAUAAAAGGCUGCCAAGAUGGAAUCUCAUUCUCUUGCUGCUAUGUCUUACAACUGGACAUGGGGGUGACUGCUAGCAGCAUGUAACUCUUCAUGGAGGACGCGGAGGCAACUGCAAUUUUAUCAUUUGACGUGAUCCCCUACGGGCUGCUGGGCUACAGACAUUGAGGCUCUGGGGCAGCAGUCUCAGCAGGGAGGCCCAGACUUCCCUCUCCCCGGCCACUUCAUCCAGCUCCUCUGGGGGGAUCCCGAGGCGUUAGUUGGGCCUCCUGAGCCGAGAGCUGCCCGUGCUGACCUGACCUUACUAUCUGGAGGAUAGUCAGCCGCCCGCCCCCCCCCAGCAACCUUCUUUGUCUAAUUGAUUUUAGAUAUUUGUAAUAAAGUGGAUUGGAUUUUAUUUUUA